rnacentral:rRNA from 1 species
GACGAACGCUGGCGGCGUGCUUAACACAUGCAAGUCGAACGGAAAGGCCCUGCUUUUGUGGGGUGCUCGAGUGGCGAACGGGUGUGUCACACGUGAGUAACCUGCCCUUGACUUUGGGAUAACUUCAGGAAACUGGGGCUAAUACCGGAUAGGAGUUCCUGCUGCAUGGUGGGGGUUGGAAAGUUUCGGCGGGUGGGGGUGGAGUCGCGGCUUAUCAGCUUGUUGGUGGGGUAGUGGCUUACCAAGGCUUUGAGGGGUAGCCGGCCUGAGAGGGUGUGCGGCCACAUUAGGCCUGUGAGACGGCGCAGACUCCUACACGAGGCAGCAGUGGGGAAUAUUGCAGAAUGGGCGGGAGCCUGAUGCAGAGACGCCCCGUGCGGGAGGACGGCCUUCUGGGUGUAUACCGCGUUCGCAUGUGACGAGGAGUGAGUGACGGUAAUGGGUAAAGAAGCACCGGCUAACUACGUG